AGCCACACGCAGCGGCACAGACGCGUUCCCGGUCCCGCCGUGCUCCCUGCGCGCCCGGCAGCGCUCGCACCGCUCCCCGACAUCGGCAGCCAAGGACCCCCCCGCCGCUGUCCGGCCAUUAGUGCCUGGGGGGGGGAGGAGGAGGAGGAGGGAGGAAGGAGGAAUAAGUCUAUUAGUAAUAACAACAACAACAACAAAACCCACCAACAAAUCCGCACUAGCGCCUUAGUCCUUCUCUCAGACCGUCGACUGCCUGGCAUCGCCGUGCAUCGGGCUGCUGUGCUGGGACUUUGUUUCAAGUAAAAAAAAAAAAAAAAGCAAACAAACAAAAAAACCUUCGCUUGCUCAGCCACUUCCAUUUUUUCCCCUGCAGUCUCGCUGGUUUGAGGUGGUUGUUUUUUGUUGUUGGUUUUUUUUUUUCCUUUUUCCCUUCAUGUGGUUGGAUUUGGUGGAUCCGGAGGCAAAGCUGCUUUUUUUCCUCGGUGGGGUGUGCGUGUGGCGUGCGGGGAUUUUCUCGCUGCGUUUUUUAUCUUCUGCUGCUUUUUUUAAUCUUGGUUUUGAACCUGAGCCGGGAAAAAUGGGAAACGGUGCUUCCGUCAGAAGGGGAAUCUCUCCAUCACUGUUGUUGGGACGUGUGCCUGUGGUGCUAGUGUUUUAGAGAAAUAGCCUGACAGCUUUCGGAGUGGAAGCGCUGCAGUUUAAAAGUUAGAGAAGUCCGUCUUGCGACAGGUCUGCUUCCCUGAGAGUAAUUUCCAGCGAGACCGAGAAAACCUGAGGCCAAAUGACAUAGGAUGAAGGCUGUUCGUAAUUUGCUGAUUUAUAUAUUUUCCACCUAUCUACUGGUUAUGUUUGGAUUUAAUGCUGCCCAAGACUUCUGGUGUUCCACGUUGGUGAAGGGGGUCAUUUAUGGAUCGUAUUCUGUAAGUGAAAUGUUUCCUAAAAACUUCACAAACUGCACUUGGACGCUGGAAAACCCAGAUCCAACCAAAUAUAGUAUUUACCUGAAAUUUUCCAAAAAGGACUUCAGAUGCUCCAACUUUUCCCUCUUGGCUUAUCAGUUUGAUCAUUUUUCCCAUGAAAAAAUAAAGGAUCUUUUAAAGAAUAACCAUUCUAUAAUGCAGCUCUGCAAUUCCAAGAAUGCUUUUGUAUUUCUGCAGUAUGAUAAGAAUUUUAUUCAGAUACGUCGCGUCUAUCCUAUCAACUUCCUGGGAUUACACAAAAAAGAAGAAGACCAAAAAUCCUUCUUUGAAUUUUUGGUGUUGAACAAGGUGAGCCCAAGCCAGUUUGGGUGCCAUGUGUUAUGCACUUGGUUGGAGAGCUGCUUGAAAUCCGAGAACGGGAGAACUGAGUCCUGUGGGAUCAUGUAUACAAAAUGCACCUGCCCUCAGCAUUUGGGAGAAUGGGGAAUAGACGACCAGUCCCUGGUGUUGCUCAAUAACGUGGUGCUGCCCCUCAACGAGCAGACAGAAGGCUGCCUGACCCAGGAGCUGCAAACCACCCAGGUCUGCAAUCUCACCAGAGAAGCCAAAAGGCCGCCAAAAGAAGGUAGGUGCUUCUUGGAGGGGGGCUGAAUGCCAUGCCAGUGUGUAAGCCCAGCUGCUGGCUCUCCUUAAUACUCACAUUCAUU